UGGGGAAUAUUGCACAAUGGGGGAAACCCUGAUGCAGCAACGCCGCGUGAAGGAAGACGGUUUUCGGAUUGUAAACUUCUGUUCUUAGUGAAGAAUUUUGACGGUAGCUAAGGAGCAAGCCACGGCUAACUACGUGCCAGCAGCCGCGGUAAUACGUAGGUGGCAAGCGUUGUCCGGAAUUACUGGGUGUAAAGGGAGCGCAGGCGGGAAGCCAAGUCAGCUGUGAAAACUACGGGCUUAACUUGUAGACUGCAGUUGAAACUGGUUUUCUUGAGUGAAGUAGAGGUAGGCGGAAUUCCGAGUGUAGCGGUGAAAUGCGUAGAUAUUCGGAGGAACACCGGUGGCGAAGGCGGCCUACUGGGCUUUAACUGACGCUGAGGCUCGAAAGUGUGGGGAGCAAACAG
rnacentral:rRNA from 1 species